GACGAACGCUGGCGGCGUGCCUAAUACAUGCAAGUCGAACGCAGUGGGGACGGGUGAGUAACACGUGGGUAACCUCCCAUCAGAGGGGAGAAAACUUGGAAACAGGUGCUAAACCGAUACUGAUGGAUGGACCCGCGGUGCAUUAGCUAGUCGGUGAGGUAACGGCUCACCAAGGCCACGAUGCAUAGCCGACCUGAGAGGGUUAGCGGCCAAACUGGAACUGAGACACGGCCCAGACUCCUACGGGAGGCAGCAGUAGGGAAUAUUCGGAAAUGGACGAAAGUCUGACCGAGCAAUGCCGCGUGUGUGAAGAAGGUUUUCGGAUCGUAAAACUCUGUUGUGAGAGAAGCGGUAUCUAACCAGAAAGCCACGGCUAACUCCGUGCCAGCAGCCGCGGUAAUAC
rnacentral:rRNA from 1 species